rnacentral:rRNA from 1 species
UACGGGGGGGGCAAGCGUUGUUCGGAAUUACUGGGCGUAAAGGGCUCGUAGGCGGCCAACUAAGUCGGAUGUGAAAUCCCCAGGCUUAACCUGGGAACUGCAUCCGAUACUGGAUGGCUUGAAUUCGGGAGAGGGAUGCAGAAUUCCAGGUGUAGCGGUGAAAUGCGUAGAUAUCUGGAGGAAUACCGGUGGCGAAGGCGGCAUCCUGGACCGAGAUUGACGCCGAUGAGCGAAAGCUAGGGGAGCAAACGGG